AAAAAAAUAUAUUAGCACAUAAAAAGGUGCUAAGAGUGUAGAAAAUAGUGAUGUAUAAUCAUGACGCGACUAUAAAAAGGAAUUAUCUGUUUGUUGUGUGAAUGAUAACAUAUCUUACGUUCAUGAUACUUGUUAUUCUGUACAUAAGCUCAUGACUGCUUCGUUAUAAAGGACGUACAUAGUGCAAGAAAAUGAGUUGGUUGCGGAACAGUCCGCUGCGAACGAGUUUUAGCAAGCAGCGAUCCAGAGAUUCACCUCCAAAAGAUGCUGAUCCAUCCGCAUGUUAUGAUAGUUUCUGCAAACACUGGCAACAAACUUAUGAAAUCAUCCGAUAUUCUUUUCCUCCUAAAGGGAUACCUAGUCAAGAUGAUGUACUUGGAGUUGUUAAUCAUAUUGAUCAAAUGGUGACAUUGUUAAUGCUAGAACUACGGGAUUUGAGCUUGCACAGUCGCUAUCGACAAGGUAGCACCGCAACGCAUUCUCCAUGUUUGGAAUAUUUAUUAAGUGAAAAUUUACUUGUUAAACUUUAUGAUUGGAGUUUGCAUACAGGAAGGUUCAAUAAUGCUGUACGAUUAGAGCAAAUAAAGCUUUACGAAUUACUAGUUUCGUACAGUGGUACUCUUCUCGCACACGAGUCAGUUACAAGGCCACUUUUACGCUUAUUAGAAGAAUGUGCGAAUGACAUUAUGCCAUUAGAAGUAGAAAAAAAAUUAGUAAUAUUAUUGAAUCAGUUGUGUGUAGCCUUAAUGCAAAAUAUGGCUUUACUUGAUUUAUUUUUUCAUCCUACUUCAACUGGAAAAAACAAAUUCAUCAUAUUCAAUCUACUGAUACCUCAUGUUCAUCGAGAGGGUGGUGUCGGUCAACAAGCGCGCGACGCUAUGUUAUUGUGCAUGUCACUCUCAAAAAAGAAUGACGAAGUUGGAAUAUAUAUAGCCAAUCAUUCCAAUAUAUGUCCUGUAUUAGCUACAGGCUUGAGCGGACUUUAUUCUUUACUUCCACGAAAACUUGAUAUUGAAACAGAUGAUUGGCACCAAUUGACACCAGAUGAUGUAAAUGAUUUACCUGCACUUAUGCAACUUAUGAAUUCUUUGGAAUUUUGCAACGCAGUCGCGCAAGUGGCACAUCCGAUGAUACAAAAGCAGUUACUUGAAUUUUUAUAUCAAGGUUUCUUGGUACCGGUGAUGGGUCCUGCAUUAUUACAAGAUUCUCUUGGCUUGACCCUAGAACAGCUAGAUGCACAACAACACUGGACUACUGUGGAAGAAUUGGUUGCAGCAACAGCUUAUUUCGAUUUGUUUCUUCGAUCUGUUACUGAUCCUGGCUUAUUAGGGUCACUUAUUAGAUUCCUACUUGAAGAUAAUUAUGAUGACAAUAGAAUACUGGACAGUCUAAUACAGAGGAUUUCUUCUCGAUCAAGGUUAUGUAUAGUAACUCUGGCAUUGUUUGAGACUCUGGUUAAUUUAAACUGUGAAGACGUUAUGCUGGAAUUAUGCUUGGGUGCAUUAAAUCCAUGUUCACAUGUAAUGCUCUCCCAACGUAGUCGAUUGAGAGAUGUUGAUCCCUUUGGACGAGCAGCAGAAAAGUUUUUAUCUUUGACACCACGUUGUUGUUCCAUGUUUAUAUCUUCGGACUCAUAUACAAGUUCUUUACCUGUCACUAUAUCAUGUACAUAUGACAAAUAUGGAAAUCCCGUAUCCGAUUCAGUAAAAUCAUUACCAGCAUCGAUAAAUUACGGUACUAAAUUAUCGGAUAGUUUAUACGGAAAUUAUCACGCAUACCUUUGUGAUGCGAGACAAAAAAUAAAAACUUGCCGAAUUGCAUGUUCCAAUUGGUCUUGCCAAUACGACGGUAACUUACCACAAAAUAAUAAUGCUAACAGCGUAAUUCCAUUGAUAGAUGAAAAUACUACACAUGAUCAGUCACAAAAGAAAACAGCAGAAUCAAAAACGUUACUACUGGAAACAAUGAGAAAUGCAAUAAGUUUGUGUGAGAAUGAAAACAGUUUACAAAUGGAUAAUAUAUUACAUAAUAUUCAAUCUUUAUUGUCAGAAGACAAAGAUUUUAAUAGCAACAAACAUAAUAUUAAAAAUGAAAUAAACGCGAAUAUUAUAUUAUCUCUGGAUGAGCGAGCACAAUUAGAUGCUGGUACCACUGAGUUGUUCAACGAAGAUAUUGGGAUGACAGAAUAUACAAAGGAAAUUUGUUUAAAUAAAAAAUCAGAUAUCUGUAUAGAUGAAUCGACUACAACUAUGAAUUCGCUUAUGUCGUUAGGUGAAAGUAGUGGUUAUGAGAGUUUUGCGUUAAAAGGAUCAGCGGAGUCAACGCCAGACAAUGAACCAAAUGAAGAUCGUAUGAAUAAACACGAACAAAUAAAUAUAUCAAGCAAAACGGAACCUAAUAUUGGUGUUUUUUAUGAUGCCGUAGAAACAACUUCGACAACAGAAAUAUUACCAAAUAAUAAAUCAAACAAGGAUGUUACGUAUCGACAGGAUGUUUUUAAUGGGCAACCAAAUGUUGGCAUAUUUUUAGAUGUGAUUUUACGGAAGCUCGAAUGCAUGACAAGCAAUAAUUUGUAUGUUAAUUUACAUCUCACGGGUCUUAUCAGCAGACUAGCAAUAUACUCGCAACCAUUAUUACAGUCUUUUCUGUUGAACCAUUCUCUUAUAUUCCAGCCUAGCAUCAGAUCCUUGUUUCAGCUUCUACGAUCUUCUGCCAUUUCUCAGGCAAGAGUUGGAUUCCACGACGGUAGAAUGAUGGCUCAAAAGAAGUUAUCAGCUCCAUCACUCACUUCAUCGGCAUUUCGGAAGCGCCGUCCUUUAAAGCCGUGUUGCAUGGAACAAAACAAGUGAUAGUCUGAAGGCACAGCGUCUGGAAAAUAGGCACGAUGAGAGAAAUUCACGACUGUGCAACGUGUGAAAAUAAUCGAAUUUUAUCUACCAAAUCAACGAUCAAUUUGUGCUAAUGCAGAGAGCUUACACUCGUCAUUUUAGGGUCAGAGAAAAACCACCUAAAUAAGCGAUACUUAACUUAUUCCGGCGGUUUGAAGUAUAGAGAUCUAUGAGUGAUUUUCGACGUGCUGGGAGGCCACGUUCAGGGAAGUCGUAGGACAACAUUCAGCAUGAGAAUUAAAAAGGAAAAGCUUGACAUCAUCAUUUACACAAAUAUUCAGACGAUCAAGUGGUAUCUUAGGCCCAAGUAGCUUAACAAAUUCUAUUAGUCAACCACCUAGUAUAUCG
rnacentral:misc_RNA from 1 species